GUAACAAACAGGGGCUUAAUCUCCACCAAACAGGGGUAAAAUAUUUUUUGCUGUCUGACCACUUGUAUCUAUUCAAGUUUUCACCUCCAUUACAAUAUCAAUAGAUCAAUUAUGACACCUAUGAGAGGGAUAUAUGUACUAAACAAUGUGAAUGUGUUUUUGGGCAUAUAUGCUAAAUGCUAGUCAUUGAGAUGAAGUUAAUACAGUAAAUCAUGCUGAUGAAUGUUAGCUAACUGUUGAUUCUUCGGCAUCCAGCCCAUGUUUACCAUGAAGACGGUAGAAUUUCAGGUUUUAAUGUCACAGGACCUGUGUGCUUCCCAUGACAUUUUUUGUAAAUUUCAUUUCUGCUGGCAUAAAAUGCAGUCUCUUUUGCCAUUAGAUGAAGAAUAUCUAAAAAUUGAAGAUAGUUUUGAUGUUUGUGGGUAUUGUGAUUGCAUUUCUUGAUUGUGAUAGUUUAAAAACUUUCAUUGCACCAGGUUAGGGUGAGAAUUGGGUCCCCUAUUACUGGCUAUGGCCAAGAAAGCAGGAAUCGUGCUGCUCGUCAGCGAAUUCCUAAUCGAACAUGGACUGAUGAGGAUGGCAAUGAGCAUGUUGAGGUAAAUUUCUACAUUCGUGGGCCACAUGGAGCUGGCAAAGUUGGUGCUGAAAUGUUCAAGGAUAAGGUCGAUAAACAGUGGAAGUUUAUCUAUCUGAUUGUUGAGAUCAAAUCCCCAUCCCCAGCGCAAUUUCUGCUCGAAUCUUAUGUCCCUGCUUGAAAUUUAUACGCAUACAAUGGAGUUGCUCCUGUCUGCUCUAUGCUCACGAGGAAAUGAAUGCUCUAGCCUUUAGGUCCUCGUUUAUUUUCUGCUUCAUCUCAAUGCCAGGUUAGUAUGAAUUGUUUAAUCAAUGUUUUGAUGAAUUGUAAACUGUAAUCAUAAGGGCAUGUUGUACAGUUUGCUGCGGGAAUAAUGAGAUUAUCUAUUCUUAACAUUGUGUUUGGAGAUAGUUUAUGUGGCAGUAUUUUGCCGUCUCUUUUCCUCCUGACAUAAUGGAAUGUUAUGAAACUUCAAAUA